CCUACGGGUGGCAGCAGUGGGGAAUUUUGCGCAAUGCUCGUAAGAGUGACGCAGCGACGCCGCGUGAAUGACGAAGGCCCUCGGGUCGUAAAGUUCCUUUGACAGGGAAGCAAAUGCCUAUAAGUAACUGUGUAUGUAUUUACGGUACCUGUAUAAGCAGCCUCGUUUAACUCCGUGCGAGCAGCCGCGGUAAUACGGAGGGGGCGGGCGUGGUUCGGAGUGGCUGGGCGUAAAGAGCACGUAGGCGGUGUUGUAAGGCAUUAGUCAAAGGCUAGAGCUCAACUUUAGUAAGGCUGGUGAUACUAUAAUACUAGAGUAGCAGAGAGGAAUGCAGAAUGCCUGGUGUAGCGGUGAAAGGCGUAGAUAUCAGGAGGAAUACCGUUAGCGAAGGCGGCAAUCUGGCUGGAAACUGACGCUGAGGUGCGAAAGCGUGGGUAGCGAACAGGAUUAGAUACCCCAGUAGUC
rnacentral:rRNA from 1 species